rnacentral:rRNA from 1 species
GAGAUAACUCCUACGGGAGGCAGCAGUAGGGAAUCUUCCGCAAUGGACGAAAGUCUGACGGAGCAACGCCGCGUGAGCGAAGAAGGCCUUCGGGUCGUAAAGCUCUGUUGUUAGGGAAGAACAAGUAACGCAGUAACUGGCGUUACCGUGACGGUACCUAACGAGAAAGCCACGGCUAACUACGUGCCAGCAGCCGCGGUAAUACGUAGGUGGCAAGCGUUGUCCGGAAUUAUUGGGCGUAAAGCGCGCGCAGGCGGUUCCUUAAGUCUGAUGUGAAAGCCCACGGCUCAACCGUGGAGGGUCAUUGGAAACUGGGGGACUUGAGUGCAGAAGAGGAGAGCGGAAUUCCACGUGUAGCGGUGAAAUGCGUAGAGAUGUGGAGGAACACCAGUGGCGAAGGCGGCUCUCUGGUCUGUAACUGACGCUGAGGCGCGAAAGCGUGGGGAGCAAACAGGAUUAGAAACCCUUGUAGUCCUCCACU